CCACUGUCAAGUGUAUGCCAUCUCUCUGACCCGAGACGCUGACAUUAGCUAGUGAGCUAAAUGAACAUCGGAGCGAGUCGUGUGUUUCAUGCCGGAUGAGCGGAGCUGUUUCACGGUGUGAGCCCUCAGAGAACUGCGAUUGGUUUAUUUGCUGGAUUAUAGAUUGAUUCAGAUUGAAAACGGUGCACGGUGUGGCCAGCCGUGGGAUCCACUCCGGAGAACCCAAGACAUCAUCUCAUUCCUCUUGGUGACACAGAUAAGGACAUAAUACAUAAAAAUCUACCCAGGUCGUCAUAGGAACAGAACAUUGCACAUGCACGACACAGAACGGAACUCUUAACUUCUCAUCGAGAAGAAGGUACACUUUUAUUUCAUUUUUCUAUUUGAUUUUUUAUGAAAGAGCUCUAUUUUAUUGUGGUUUUUUUUGUUUUUCAUAUGCUGUAAUAAUUAUUUGUGUGUGAAAAUAAAUUGCCAAAGUUCAACUUUAUGGCCUUUAUUUGAAUAUUUGUAUUUCUUCCAGUCAGGCUAAGG